ACAGUAUAGUGGUUCUGACACUCGGCUUGUAAUCGAGUGGAUUCGGGUUCAAAUCCCGAGUAAGGCU
rnacentral:tRNA from 1 species